GCUCUCCGAGUAUGUACAGAGAGGCAUCCAGACGCUGGCGGAUCCCGGUUCCUUUGACUCCAGCGCCUUCGCGCUUCUCCUCCGGGCGGCUUUCCAGAGCCUGCUGGACGCCCAGGCGGACGAGGCCGCGCUAGCAAUUACUUUAUUUUAGAUCACCCAGACUUGAAACAUAUCGACCCAGUGGUUUUAAAGCAUUGUCAUGGGGCAGCUGCAACUUACAUACUGGAGGCAGGAAAGCACCGAGUUGACAAGUCUACUCUAAGGUACAGGCUUUAUUUAAAUACCCAUUUACUUUUAAAUGGUAUCUUUGUGAUUGUAAUUUCCGUUUUUAAAGAUAGAGACUAAACCUCGGUUUAUUUCCCCAACCCCUCCAGCACUUAUUUAGAAGACUGUAAAUUUGACCGAGAGCGAAUAGAACUGUUUUGCACGGAGUAUCAGGUUACUUACUUUAAACUUUUAAAUUAACAAUUAGCCCCUCCUUUUUUUUCCUGCUGUUUGCAAAAAUGUGUUUUCUUUCCUUUUCUUUCCCCUUCUCCAGAAUAAUAAGAAUUCUCUAGAAAUCCUACUGGGAAGGUAGGUACUGUAUUAGGUGUCAAGCUGGGGCACUUUUCACUUGUGGGUAAUGAAUGGAGUGUAUUGAUGGGAAACAAAACAGGGCCAAAAAGUUUGGCAUCCUGACCCAAAAUAAAGGGCCAUGGGGCAAGGGAACAAU
rnacentral:lncRNA from 1 species